rnacentral:rRNA from 1 species
UACUGGAAACGGUAGCUAAUACCGCAUAACGUCGCAAGACCAAAGAGGGGGACCUUCGGGCCUCUUGCCAUCGGAUGUGCCCAGAUGGGAUUAGCUUGUUGGUGGGGUAACGGCUCACCAAGGCGACGAUCCCUAGCUGGUCUGAGAGGAUGACCAGCCACACUGGAACUGAGACACGGUCCAGACUCCUACGGGAGGCAGCAGUGGGGAAUAUUG